AAUGAACGCUGGCGGCGUGCCUAACACAUGCAAGUCGAACGAGAAAGCCUGGCUUGCCAGGCAAGUAAAGUGGCGCACGGGUGAGUAACGCGUGGAUAAUCUACCUUUGUCUGGGGGAUAACCUACCGAAAGGUGGGCUAAUACCGCAUAACGUGGUCGGAUUGUGAUUUGAUCACCAAAGAUGGCCUCUCCUUGGAAGCUAUCGGGUAAAGAUGAGUCCGCGUCCCAUUAGCUAGUUGGUAAGGUAACGGCUUACCAAGGCGACGAUGGGUGGCUGGUCUGAGAGGAUGACCAGCCACACUGGAACUGGAACACGGUCCAGACUCCUACGGGAGGCAGCAGUGAGGAAUCUUGCGCAAUGGGGGCAACCCUGACGCAGCAACGCCGCGUGAGUGAAGAAGGCCUUCGGGUCGUAAAGCUCUGUCAAGUGGGAAGAAUAGCCUUAAGACGAAUAAUCUUGAGGUAUGACGGUACCACUGGAGGAAGCACCGGCUAACUCCGUGCCAGCAGCCGCGGUAAAAC
rnacentral:rRNA from 1 species